rnacentral:rRNA from 1 species
GACGAACGCUGGCGGCGUGCUUAACACAUGCAAGUCGAACGGAAAGGCCCCUUUGGGGGUCCUCGAGUGGCGAACGGGUGAGUAACACGUGAGUAACCUGCCCUUGACUUCGGGAUAACUUCAGGAAACUGGGGCUAAUACCGGAUAGGAAUCCUUGCUGCAUGGUGGGGGUUGGAAAGCUUCGGCGGUUUUGGAUGGACUCGCGGCUUAUCAGCUUGUUGGUGGGGUAGUGGCUUACCAAGGCUUUGACGGGUAGCCGGCCUGAGAGGGCGACCGGCCACAUUGGGACUGAGAUACGGCCCAGACUCCUACGGGAGGCAGCAGGGGGGAAUAUUGCACAAUGGGCGGAAGCCUGAUGCAGCAACGCCGCGUGCGGGAGGACGGCCUUCGGGUUGUAAACCGCUUUCAGCAGGGGCGAAGCUUGUGGUGACGGUACCUGCAGAAGAAGCACCGGCUAACUACGUG